AGACCGUGAUGUAGGCAUCUUUGUAUCAAAAUUUUAAAGCGUUCCUAAGCUUCGUGAAAGCUUUCUCCUUCUAAUUUUUUGAAUGUGGCGAUCUCUCUUCUUAGUAG
rfam:Gossypium raimondii Chr01_contig_839, whole genome shotgun sequence.